GGGUCAGUAGGUUGGUCGUGCCACCGGUACGUACUGGUCUCACUGAUUCCUCCUUCCUGAAGAACCGUAAUGCCAUUAAUUUGGUGUUGCGGGGAAACAGGACUGUUACUUUGAAAAAAUUAGAGUGUUUAAAGCAAGCUAACGCUUGAAUGCAUUAGCAUGGAAUAAUGAAAUAGGACGAUCGAUCCUAUUUUGUUGGUUUCUAGGAUUGACAUA
rnacentral:rRNA from 1 species